rnacentral:rRNA from 12 species
CCCAAACCGACACAGGUGGUCAGGUAGAGAAUACCAAGGCGCUUGAGAGAACUCGGGUAAAGGAACUAGGCAAAAUGGUGCCGUAACUUCGGGAGAAGGCACGCUGGUGGUAGGUGAGACCCCUUGCGGGUGGAGCUGACGCCAGUCGAAGAUACCAGGCCCCUGCGACUGUUUAUUAAAAACACAGCACUGUGCAAACACGAAAGUGGACGUAUACGGUGUGACGCCUGCCCGGUGCCGGAAGGUUAAUUGAUGGGGUUAGCAUUCGUGCGAAGCUCUUGAUCGAAGCCCCGGUAAACGGCGGCCGUAACAAUAACGGUCCUAAGGUAGCGAAAUUCCUUGUCGGGUAAGUUCCGACCUGCACGAAUGGCGUAACGACUUCCCCGCUGUCUCCAGCAUCGACUCAGCGAAAUUGAAUUCC